rnacentral:rRNA from 1 species
UACGGAGGGGGCUAGCGUUGUUCGGAAUUACUGGGCGUAAAGCGCGCGUAGGCGGACCUGCAAGUCGGGGGUGAAAGCCCGAGGCUCAACCUGGGAAUGGCAUUGGAAACUAGCGGGCUGGAGUGUGGCAGAGGGGGGUGGAAUUCCACGUGUAGCAGUGAAAUGCGUAGAGAUGUGGAGGAACACCGAUGGCGAAGGCAGCCCCCUGGGCUAACACUGACGCUCAUGCACGAAAGCGUGGGGAGCAAACAGG